UACGAAGGGGGCGAGCGUUGCUCGGAAUGACUGGGCGUAAAGGGCGCGUAGGCGGAUGGCACAGUCAGAUGUGAAAUUCCCGGGCUUAACCUGGGGGCUGCAUUUGAUACGUGUUGUCUUGAGUUCGGAAGAGGGUCGUGGAAUUCCCAGUGUAGAGGUGAAAUUCGUAGAUAUUGGGAAGAACACCGGUGGCGAAGGCGGCGACCUGGUCCGACACUGACGCUGAGGCGCGAAAGCGUGGGGAGCAAACAGG
rnacentral:rRNA from 1 species